rnacentral:rRNA from 1 species
AUUGAACGCUGGCGGCAGGCCUAACACAUGCAAGUCGAGCGGAUGAAGGGAGCUUGCUCCUGGAUUCAGCGGCGGACGGGUGAGUAAUGCCUAGGAAUCUGCCUGGUAGUGGGGGAUAACGUCCGGAAACGGGCGCUAAUACCGCAUACGUCCUGAGGGAGAAAGCGGGGGAUCUUCGGACCUCACGCUAUCAGAUGAGCCUAGGUCGGAUUAGCUAGUUGGUGGGGUAAGGCCUACCAAGGCGACGAUCCGUAACUGGUCUGAGAGGAUGAUCAGUCACACUGGAACUGAGACACGGUCCAGACUCCUACGGGAGGCAGCAGUGGGGAAUAUUGGACAAUGGGCGAAAGCCUGAUCCAGCCAUGCCGCGUGUGUGAAGAAGGUCUUCGGAUUGUAAAGCACUUUAAGUUGGGAGGAAGGGCAGUAAGUUAAUACCUUGCUGUUUUGACGUUACCAACAGAAUAAGCACCGGCUAACUUCGUG